ACUGGGCAGGUAAAGGAGGGGCUGGGGCAGCUGCUGGCUCUCUGUUCCCCUUUCCUUCUCUCGGCUUCGGAGGAGGACGUUCGGAGCUGCUGCUCGGGGAAGGAAAUUCGCUGCUCCCGCCAGAGCCCAGCCCGGAGCUGCUUCUGCUGCCAUGGGACUGUUUCUCCUUUCCCUUUUUUGGACCUACUUGAACCUGCUCUGGACUGGGACCUGGGAAACACCGAGAGUUUGCACCCUGUGGUCUGCAGCAGCUGCCCCAGCGCCGGAGGGACUGAUAACAGAGACCAGCCCCAAGAGAGACUUUCUGAAUUUGUCAUCUUUUUCAGAGCGGUGAACGAGUGGUGUCAUCUGGUAUUGUUCAUUUUGUGUGCUGGGGGGCGCCGUGCCUGUUAAAUAAACAGGUUCUUUCCA